GUCGCUUCUCGGCUCUCUGAGCUAAGGUCAUGUGUAGUAUCUGUUCGUUGCAGUGUAAUUUCUGCAAUGGUCUCUAAACUGAGACCAAUUUUUGUGCGUCGGUGGCACAGUGGUUAGGAAUGUCGCCGACCAUGCACAUGGCUCGAGGUUCGAUCCCCU
rnacentral:snRNA from 1 species